AUUGAACGCUGGCGGCAGGCCUAACACAUGCAAGUCGAACGAGUUGCGGACGGGUGAGUAAUGUCUGGUAAACUGCCUGAUGGAGGGGGAUAACUACUGGAAACGGUAGCUAAUACCGCAUACCCUCAGAUGUGCCCAGAUGGGAUUAGCUAGUUGGUGGGGUAACGGCUCCCCACGGCGACGAUCCCUAGCUGGUCUGAGAGGAUGACCAGCCACACUGUAACUGAGACACGGUCCAGAAUCGUACGGGAGGCAGCAGUGGGGAAUAUUGCACAAUGGGCGCAAGACUGAGGCAGCCAUGCCGCGUGUAUGAAGAAGGCCUUCGGGUUGUAAAGUACUGUCAGCGGGGAGGCGUUACCCGCAGAAGAAGCACCGGCUAACUCCGUGCCAGCAGCCGCGGUAAUAC
rnacentral:rRNA from 1 species